rnacentral:rRNA from 1 species
CGUGGGGCGGGAGUCGCUGAAAACCGGUCUCAGUUCGGAUCGCAGUCUGCAACUCGACUGCGUGAAGGCGGAGUCGCUAGUAAUCGCGGAUCAGCAACGCCGCGGUGAAUGCGUUCCCGGGCCUUGUACACACCGCCCGUCAAGUCAUGAAAGUGGGUAGCACCCGAAGCCGGUGGCCCGACCCUCGUGGGGGGAGCCGUCUAAGGUGAGACUCGUGAUUGGGACUAAGUCGUAACAAGGUAGC